rnacentral:rRNA from 1 species
UACGUAGGGUGCAAGCGUUGUCCGGAAUUAUUGGGCGUAAAGAGCUCGUAGGCGGUUUGUCGCGUCGGCUGUGAAAACUCGGGGCUCAACCCCGAGCCUGCAGUCGAUACGGGCAGACUAGAGUGCGGUAGGGGAGACUGGAAUUCCUGGUGUAGCGGUGAAAUGCGCAGAUAUCAGGAGGAACACCGGUGGCGAAGGCGGCGACCUGGUCCUUGACUGACGCUGAGGCGCGAAAGCUAGGGGAGCAAACGGG